CUUUGCCUUUUAGAUAAGCAAAAAUAAAUAAAAUUUUAAAAAUUUAACAAUAAGGGUUGGGGUACUUCCAGUAAUGCCAGCAUCCCAUAUGAGGAACAGUUUGAGUCAUGAUUGCUCUGCUUCUAAUCUGGCUCCCUGCUCAUGCACCUGAGAAGCCAGCUGAAGGUGGUCCAAGUUCUUGGGCCCCUGCCACCAUGUGGGCAACCCAGAUGAAGUUCCAUGCCCUUGGCUUUCUUCUGGCCCAGCCCUGACUGUUGCAGAUAUUUUGGGAUUGAACCAACAAAUGGAUGAUCCUUCUCUUCUCUUCUCUUCUCUUCUCUUCUCUUCUCUUCUCUUCUCUUCUCUUCUCUUCUCUUCUCUUCUCUCUCUCUCUCUCUCUACCUUUCAAAUAAAUAAAAUAUGUCUUUACAAAAUUUAUAAAAUAAAAAUUCAACAAUAAGAAAUGAACAACCCAAUUAAUAUGGGGCAGAAUACCUGAAGACACCUCACCAAAGAAGAUAUAGGAGUGGCAGGCAAAUAAGCAUAUGAAAUGUCAUUUUCUUCAUCAUACCUCAUUAAAGAAUUACAAACUAAAAAAGCAUGAUGGAACUGAUGUUGAGGGGCAAGAGAUCAAGCCACAGCUCAUGAUGCUGCAUCCCACAUCAGAGAAUCAGCUCCAGUCCAGGUUGCUCCACUUCUGAUCAAACUUCCCGAUAAAGUGCCUGGAAAACAGCAAAAAAAAAAAAAAAUGGUCCAAGGGCUUGGGCGCUGCCAUCUAUGUGGGCCAUCAGGAUGGAGUUCCUGGCUCCUGGCUACAGCCUGACCUGGCCCUGGCUGUUACAGACAUUUGGAGGGUGAACCAGCAGAUGGAAGAUACCUCCCCACUCCCCCACCCCAUCACUCUGCCUUCCAAAGAAAGAAAUCUUUGAAAAAUAACAAUAGCAGUAUUGCAUACCUCUUAGAAUGACCAAAAUACAAAGGCAGCAACAGCACCAAAUAUGGAGAAAUAGGAACUUGGAUCUGUUGACCACAGCCACAGCCACUUUGGAAGACAAUCUGACACUCUGACCAUUUCUGACAAAACAAACACAGCCAUACAAUCCAGUAAUUGUGCUCCUUGGUAUUUACCCAAAUGAGGGAGAAAUUCACACAAAUAAGUCUGCACAUGGAUGUUCCAAGCAGCUUUAUUCAUAAUUUCUGGAACUUGCAAGCAUCAAGAUGUUCUUCAGUGGGUGAAAGGAUUAAUGAGCUGUAGCACCUCCAGACAAUGAGACAUUAUUCAGUGCUACAAAGAAAUGAGCUAUCAAGCCACAGGCAGAUAAGGGAGAAUCUUACACGCAUAUCGCUAAGUGGAGGAGGCUAGUCCUAAAGUGUUGUGACCUUUAUGGCAUUCUGAAAAAGGCAGAACUAUGGAGACCAAAAAGAGAAGUGGUUUCCAUGGGUUGGGAGUACCAGGAGGAUAUGAGGCUACGCAGCAACUCCUUAUGAUUCCCUAAUGGGGGGGGAAGGGACAUAGACCUUGCUGUGCUUUGAAUGUGUCCCCUCCAGCAUUUCAGAUGUUGAGAUUCAAUGGCCAACGUGAUGUAACUAAGACAGCCUUUAAGAGGUGACCAGAUCAUGAAACUCCCUACAGCUAGGAGUGGAUUUAAGCCCAUUUCAAAGAGGGUUUAUGCAGCGUUUCGCUCUCUUGCCAGUCUGUCCUCUGCCGUGUGAAGAUAUAUGGUCACUCUCCUCUGGAGGAUGCGUCAGCAAGAUGGCAUCUUGGAAAGACAGCAUGGCAGGGCCAGCACUAUGGAAUAGCAGCUGGAUCCAGCUCCCUGCUGUUGGCCUGGAAAAGCAGUGGAAGUGUUUGGGUCCUUGCACCCAUGUGGGAGACCCAGAAGAAGCUCCUGGCUCCUGGUUUUGGAUCAGCCCAGCUCUGGCCAUUGCAGCCAUUUGGGGAGUGACCUGGCAGAUGGAAGACCUUUGUCUCUGUCUCUCCUUCUCUCUGUCUGUGACUCUACCUCUCAAAUAAAUAAAUCUUUAAAGAAAA